GAUGAACGCUGGCGGCGUGCCUAACACAUGCAAGUCGAGCGGAGAUUAAAAAGCUUGCUUUUUAAUCUUAGCGGCGGACGGGUGAGUAACGCGUGGGUAACCUGCCCUAUACACACGGAUAACAUAUCGAAAGGUAUGCUAAUACGAGAUAACACAUUUUUAAGGCAUCUUAGAAAUGUCAAAGAUUUAUCGGUGUAGGAUGGACCCGCGUCCCAUUAGCUAGUUGGUGAGGUAAAAGCUUACCAAGGCGACGAUGGGUAGCCGACCUGAGAGGGUGAUCGGCCACACUGGAACUGAGACACGGUCCAGACUCCUACGGGAGGCAGCAGUGGGGAAUAUUGCACAAUGGGGGAAACCCUGAUGCAGCAACGCCGCGUGAGCGAUGAAGGCCUUCGGGUCGUAAAGCUCUGUCCUAAGGGAAGAUAAUGACGGUACCUUAGGAGGAAGCCCCGGCUAACUACGUGCCAGCCGCCGCAGUAACAC
rnacentral:rRNA from 1 species